UUAAUUUGACUCAACACGGGAAAUCUUACCGGGUCCGGACAUACCGAGGAUUGACAGACUGUUAACUGCAACACAAGCUGCUAAGUUUUAAACUUAAUAGCUCUUUCAUGAUUAUAUGAUAGGUGGUGCAUGGCCGUUCUUAGUUCGUGGAGUGAUCUGUCUGCUUAAUUGCGUUUCAAAAUUUAAACCUGAGCGACAAGGUGCUGCUAUCGAAACUGUCUUUGAGUGUGAACUAUAAGUCUUUUGACUUAUGACCAUCACUCUAGACGUUUAUGUUUUGGUGUUGGCCCUUGAUGCUCAUUUGAACGCAACGGACGUGAUUGCAACCCCUUGUUGAGAUUUAUCCGAUCUCUACGUUCACUGAACCACACUCUUUAGCGAGAGCAGUGGGGAUGUGGAUAAACUCGGGGGACUGCUGACUAUAAACUUUUCUCAAACCAGAGGAAGGUUGCGGCAAUAACAGGUCUGUGAUGCCCUCAGAUGU
rnacentral:rRNA from 1 species